CAACGCCUUGGUCCUGAACUUAAUAUUAUUUAAGGUUGGUUUUAUACAUGCAAGUAUCUGCACCCCAGUGCUUAUUGCCCAUCCAAAUCCACGGAGCAGAUAUCAGGCACACUACUCAGCAGCCCACGACAUCUAGCCUUAGCCACGCCCCCACGGAACUCAGCAGUAAUAAAUCUUAGGCCAUGAGCCCCACCUUAAGCUCGACCUAGACACAACCUAUUUAAGCCGGUAAACUCCCGUGCCAGCCACCGCGGUUAUACGAGGGACUUAAAAUAAUACUACACGGCGUAAAACGUGACUAGAAAUAAAUUUAUAAGCCAGAGGCUGCAGCACGAGUAAAGUUGUAGAAUACACAUACUACCAAGCAACAUCGCACCUCAACUUACAAAUAUUUUUUGACCACACGAAAUCUGGGAGACAAACUAGGAUUAGAUACCCUACUAUGCCCAGACGUAAACUUUGAUAGAACCACAUCACAAAUCUAUCCGCCAGGGGACUACUAGUAACUAACUUAAAACUCCAAGGACUUGACGGUGUUCCAUAUCAUCCUAGAGGAGCCUGUCCUAUAACCGAUAAUCCACGUUUUACCUCACCCUCUCUUGCAAUUCCAGUCUAUAUACCGCCGUCGCCAGUCUACCUUUUGAAAGCAAAAAUUAGUAGACAAAAUAGUACCUUCACUAGCACGUCAGGUCGAGGUGUAGCUAACGAGAGGGAAGAGAUGGGCUACAUUGUCUUCAUUAAUAGACCCCCACCAUCAACUACAUGAAAUAAUAGUUAUAAGUCGGAUUUAGUAGUAAACCAAGGCAAGUCAUGCCUGAUUGAAGAACGCUCUGGAACGCGUACACACCGCCCGUCACCCUCCUCAAUAAACAACCACUAUUCAAUAACUAAAACACGACACAACAUUUAGAUGAGGCAAGUCGAAACAUGGUAAAGUGUACUGGAAAGUGCACUUGGAAA
rnacentral:ncRNA from 1 species